rnacentral:piRNA from 1 species
UGUUUUUGUUGUUUGUGACUGCUGUGU